AUUGAACGCUGGCGGCAUGCCUUACACAUGCAAGUCGAACGGUAACAGGUCUUCGGAUGCUGACGAGUGGCGAACGGGUGAGUAAUGCAUCGGAACGUGCCCAGUUGUGGGGGAUAACUGCUCGAAAGAGCAGCUAAUACCGCAUACGACCUGAGGGUGAAAGCGGGGGAUCGCAAGACCUCGCGCAAUUGGAGCGGCCGAUGUCAGAUUAGGUAGUUGGUGGGGUAAAGGCCUACCAAGCCGACGAUCUGUAGUUGGUCUGAGAGGACGACCAGCCACACUGGGACUGGGACACGGCCCAGACUCCUACGGGAGGCAGCAGUGGGGAAUUUUGGACAAUGGGCGCAAGCCUGAUCCAGCAAUGCCGCGUGCAGGAAGAAGGCCUUCGGGUUGUAAACUGCUUUUGUCAGGGAAGAAAUCCUCUGGGUUAAUACCCCGGGGGGAUGACGGUACCUGAAGAAUAAGCACCGGCUAACUACGUGCCAGCCGCCGCCGUAA
rnacentral:rRNA from 1 species